UGUUCAGAUAUUGAUGAGUGCACUUCUUCCAAUGUGUGCAUCCAAAAUGCAAAAUGCUCAAACACCGUAGGAUCUUACGCAUGUCAUUGUAUUGUGGGGUACACGGGUGAUGGCAACAAUAAUUGUACAGGUGAGGAUACAAAAAUAUAUAACAUGAUACUGCUUGCCGCCUCCCAUUAGACUUAGUCAGAAACUUUGAUAACUAUAAUAUUCGGUGUACACUUAUGG